GGUUUUUUUUUUUAUUCCUUCCAAUUUUUCAUUUCAGCCACUUCUGCCCCACAGACAAAAGGUACCCCUGGCCAUUAAUCAUUCGCUUCAAGCCUGUGGACUUGGGCAAAUUAGCUUAGAACUGUGGGAUUGGAUUGGAACCUGCAAAUUCCUCGAGUCAAUGGCCAUACUUUUCUUCUAUUUUUCAUUUUUAUUAUACAACUUUUUUAUUGAAUUUUAAUUUUAUCUCAUACUGGAUAUCUCAAAAAUGACUUUAUAUUAGUGAAUUAAAGUUUUAUUUGUUUUAUAAAAAAUAUUUUUUAUAAUUUU
rnacentral:misc_RNA from 1 species